AGCUAUUUCCAGCCCCGUAAACUAUUAAUCUAUUAACGAGUUUAGUUCUGCAAGGAGGUAGGAAAGGUUGGCUUUGGUGAAGUAUCUAUUCAUGGUAAUUAGCUCAUAGAGCUAACUUUAAGAGGGAUGUCAGUGUCUCUGGUUGUUUUAGUUUGUUGACUUGUGAGGAAAACUGGUGUUAGAGAGUUAGGAGGCCUCAGAGAAAUACCGGUGGAGGGGCCACCCACUGCCAUUUUUAUGAAGAAAAGCCAGUUAAAACGGGUAACCAAGAUGGUCUUAAGUAGAAAAGAAACUGCAUAAUGCCAGCUUUCAGUUAGUUGCCUCAAGGUGUAAAAGAGGCAAACUUUUUUUUUUUCUAUUUGCUUUGCCUUGUAUAGUAGACUGAACAAUGGCCCGCCAAGAUGUCCAUGUCCUAACCUUCAGAACCUGUAUGUUAUCUUACGUGGCAAGAGGGACUUUGCAGAUUUGAUUCGGUUAAGGAGCCGGAGAUUGAAAGAUUGUCCUGGAUUAUUCGGGUGGGUGGACCCUGUGUAAUUAUGAUGAUAAGAAGGAGGCAGGAGUGUCAGUGUGAGAUGUGAUGACCAGAGCAGAGGUGAGAAAGAGAGAGAAAGAGAGAAGAAAAAAGAUUUGAAGAUGGAGGAAGGAACGAAGAUCCAAGGUAUAAAGGUAACCUCUAGAAGCUGGAAAGGAAGGAAAUAGAUUUUCCCAUAGAGCCUCCAAAGGAAUGCAACUGCACCAGCACCUUGAGUUCAUCUAACCUCCAAAACGUUCUGCCUUGUCAAAUGCCAACCCAUUUAUAAUUUGUUGUCUGACAGCAUGCAUUCCGAUAUUUUCCUGGCCCAUCACAAUAGUAACUGGGAGAGAGUCCGCAUCCUGAAGGAGCUCAGAGGACACGAAAGCAGAAGCCUGAGAAGCAAGAGCCUACACAGAAGAAAGGAAGAUCUGAGAAACAUUUGAAAUUAAAAUAGUGUCCUUCAAUCAACUAUGAGUGAGGCCGUACCAAUUCUAUUGACCAUGAAUAUGUGAAGAUCAAUUUGACAAAGCCAUUGACAAAUGUGCAGAAGUGAAGGCUUAUAGCAGAAAGCACAGUGGAGUUAUUCAUCACCAUCACCAUGGGGACCAAAAUAUUGGGGUUCUGUUUUACCUUGCUGAUUCAUUGCUGUGGAUUCUUUUAUAUUUUUAUUUUUCCCAAUAAAUCUUUUAUUUUUCUAAUUUUAUUUUAUUCUUUAUAGUUUGUUAGUUAUCUCUCUUUUUGGCUUGUUGCCCCUGCCCUUUUUUUUUUCUUUUUUCUGCUGUGGUUUUAUUUUACCUUAUUGCAGUUGUUUCAA